UACGUAGGGUGCGAGCGUUGUCCGGAAUUAUUGGGCGUAAAGAGCUCGUAGGCGGUUUGUUGCGUCUAUCGUGAAAACCUGCGGCUUAACUGUGGGCUUGCGGUGGAUACGGGCAGACUUGAGUUCGGUAGGGGGAGACUGGAAUUCCUGGUGUAGCGGUGAAAUGCGCAGAUAUCAGGAGGAACACCGGUGGCGAAGGCGGGUCUCUGGGCCGAUACUGACGCUGAGGAGCGAAAGCGUGGGGAGCGAACAGG
rnacentral:rRNA from 1 species